CCGGCUGGCUGGGCAGUCGCCGCUCCAUUAUUGGGGGGGAGGAAAGUCCGGACUUCAUAGGGUAAGGUGCCAGGUAACGCCUGGGGGGCGAGAGCCCACGGCUAGUGCAGCAGAAAAUAUACCGCCGAUGGCAUUUAUUGCACAGGUAAGGUUGAAAUGGUGCGGUAAGAGCGCACCGCGCGCUUGGUAACAAGAGCGGCAGGGUAAACCCCACCUGAAGUAAGACCAAAUAGGGAUCCAUUGGUGUGACCCGCACUGGAUCCGGGUAGGUUGCUCGAGCCUUAUGGUGACGUAAGGCCUAGAAGAAUGACUGUCCACGACAGAAUCCGGCUUAUAGGCCAGCCAUUUAU
rnacentral:RNase_P_RNA from 1 species